UACGUAGGGUGCAAGCGUUGCCCGGAUUUAUUGGGCGUAAAGGGCGCGUAGGCGGCUCUGCACGUUCGUUGUGAAAUCGCCCGGCUCAACUGGGCGGGGUCAGCGGAUACGGCAGAGCUUGAGCAAGCUAGGGGGCAAUGGAAUUCCCGGUGUAGUGGUGAUAUGCGUAGAUAUCGGGAGGAACACCAGUGGCGAAGGCGGCUCUCUGGGCCUUUCCUGACGCUGAGACGCGAAAGCGUGGGGAGCGAACCGG
rnacentral:rRNA from 1 species